rnacentral:rRNA from 1 species
AGGAAUAUUGGUCAAUGGACGAGAGUCUGAACCAGCCAAGUAGCGUGAAGGAUGACUGCCCUAUGGGUUGUAAACUUCUUUUAUACGGGAAUAAAGUGAGGCACGUGUGCCUUUUUGUAUGUACCGUAUGAAUAAGGAUCGGCUAACUCCGUGCCAGCAGCCGCGGUAAUACGGAGGAUCCGAGCGUUAUCCGGAUUUAUUGGGUUUAAAGGGUGCGUAGGUGGUGAUUUAAGUCAGCGGUGAAAGUUUGUGGCUCAACCAUAAAAUUGCCGUUGAAACUGGGUUACUUGAGUGUGUUUGAGGUAGGCGGAAUGCGUGGUGUAGCGGUGAAAUGCAUAGAUAUCACGCAGAACUCCGAUUGCGAAGGCAGCUUACUAAACCAUAACUGACACUGAAGCACGAAAGCGUGGGGAUCAAACAGGAUUAGAUACCCUGGUAGUCCACGCAGUAAACGAUGAUUACUAGGAGUUUGCGAUACAAUGUAAGCUCUACAGCGAAAGCGUUAAGUAAUCCACCUGGGGAGUACGCCGGCAACGGUGAAACUCAAAGGAAUUGACGGGGGCCCGCACAAGCGGAGGAACAUGUGGUUUAAUUCGAUGAUACGCGAGGAACCUUACCCGGGUUUGAACGUAGUCUGACCGGAGUGGAAACACUCUUUCUAGCAAUAGCAGAUUACGAGGUGCUGCAUGGUUGUCGUCAGCUCGUGCCGUGAGGUGUCGGCUUAAGUGCCAUAACGAGCGCAACCCUUAUCACUAGUUACUAACAGGUGAAGCUGAGGACUCUGGUGAGACUGCCAGCGUAAGCUGUGAGGAAGGUGGGGAUGACGUCAAAUCAGCACGGCCCUUACAUCCGGGGCGACACACGUGUUACAAUGGCAUGGACAAAGGGCAGCUACCUGGUGACAGGAUGCUAAUCUCCAAACCAUGUCUCAGUUCGGAUCGGAGUCUGCAACUCGACUCCGUGAAGCUGGAUUCGCUAGUAAUCGCGCAUCAGCCAUGGCGCGGUGAAUACGUUCCCG